UCCCUGGUGGCUCAGCUGGCAAAGAAUCUGCCUGCAAUGCAGGAGACCCAGGUUUGAUCCCUGGGUGGGGAA
rfam:TPA: Bos taurus chromosome 1, whole genome shotgun sequence.